rnacentral:SRP_RNA from 1 species
GCAGCAGACACCCAGUUUGGCUGUAAUAGCAGGAGGAUUGCUUGAGCCCGGGAGUUCUGGGCUGUAAUGUGUUAUUCCAAUCAGAUAUCCACAGUAAGUUUGGUAUGAAUACAGUGACUUUCCGGGAGCUGAGUACCAGCAGGUAGCUUAGGGAGGGAUGAACCAGCCCAAGCUGGAAAUGAAGCAGGUCAAAUCUCCUGUGAUAGUAGGUAGCGGGGCUGUCCCUACGAAUAACCACCACACUCCAGCCAAGGCAACAUAUCCAGACGCUGUCUUU